AAAUUGAAGAGUUUGAUCAUGGCUCAGAUUGAACGCUGGCGGCAGGCCUAACACAUGCAAGUCGAACGGUAACAGGAAGCAGCUUGCUGCUUUGCUGACGAGUGGCGGACGGGUGAGUAAUGUCUGGGAAACUGCCUGAUGGAGGGGGAUAACUACUGGAAACGGUGGCUAAUACCGCAUAACGUCGCAAGACCAAAGAGGGGGACCUUCGGGCCUCUUGCCAUCAGAUGUGCCCAGAUGGGAUUAGCUAGUUGGUGAGGUAACGGCUCACCAAGGCGACGAUCCCUAGCUGGUCUGAGAGGAUGACCAGCCACACUGGAACUGAGACACGGUCCAGACUCCUACGGGAGGCAGCAGUGGGGAAUAUUGCACAAUGGGCGCAAGCCUGAUGCAGCCAUGCCGCGUGUAUGAAGAAGGCCUUCGGGUUGUAAAGUACUUUCAGCGGGGAGGAAGGUGUUGUGGUUAAUAACCGCAGCAAUUGACGUUACCCGCAGAAGAAGCACCGGCUAACUCCGUGCCAGCAGCCGCGGUAAUACGGAGGGUGCAAGCGUUAAUCGGAAUUACUGGGCGUAAAGCGCACGCAGGCGGUCUGUCAAGUCGGAUGUGAAAUCCCCGGGCUCAACCUGGGAACUGCAUUCGAAACUGGCAGGCUUGAGUCUUGUAGAGGGGGGUAGAAUUCCAGGUGUAGCGGUGAAAUGCGUAGAGAUCUGGAGGAAUACCGGUGGCGAAGGCGGCCCCCUGGACAAAGACUGACGCUCAGGUGCGAAAGCGUGGGGAGCAAACAGGAUUAGAUACCCUGGUAGUCCACGCCGUAAACGAUGUCUACUUGGAGGUUGUGCCCUUGAGGCGUGGCUUCCGGAGCUAACGCGUUAAGUAGACCGCCUGGGGAGUACGGCCGCAAGGUUAAAACUCAAAUGAAUUGACGGGGGCCCGCACAAGCGGUGGAGCAUGUGGUUUAAUUCGAUGCAACGCGAAGAACCUUACCUGGUCUUGACAUCCACAGAACUUUCCAGAGAUGGACUGGUGCCUUCGGGAACUGUGAGACAGGUGCUGCAUGGCUGUCGUCAGCUCGUGUUGUGAAAUGUUGGGUUAAGUCCCGCAACGAGCGCAACCCUUAUCCUUUGUUGCCAGCGGUCCGGCCGGGAACUCAAAGGAGACUGCCAGUGAUAAACUGGAGGAAGGUGGGGAUGACGUCAAGUCAUCAUGGCCCUUACGACCAGGGCUACACACGUGCUACAAUGGCGCAUACAAAGAGAAGCGACCUCGCGAGAGCAAGCGGACCUCAUAAAGUGCGUCGUAGUCCGGAUUGGAGUCUGCAACUCGACUCCAUGAAGUCGGAAUCGCUAGUAAUCGUGGAUCAGAAUGCCACGGUGAAUACGUUCCCGGGCCUUGUACACACCGCCCGUCACACCAUGGGAGUGGGUUGCAAAAGAAGUAGGUAGCUUAACCUUCGGGAGGGCGCUUACCACUUUGUGAUUCAUGACUGGGGUGAAGUCGUAACAAGGUAACCGUAGGGGAACCUGCGGUUGGAUCACCUCCUUACCUGAAAGAAGC
rnacentral:rRNA from 1 species